UUCUCCUUUGAAGAUACAGCUAUUCAUUCCAAAAAAUCCAGUAGGCUACUGUGAAAGUUUUAUUUGGUUUAUUUCAAUAGAUCCAGUACCCCUUACAAUGGUGUAUGGUGAUUAUCAAUCGAUUAAGGUACCAGUGGAUUCCUAGGUCAGCUAGUGCUUUGAUGGCUGUGACUUUGCAAACAUGUGCAUGGCAUCUCCUAUGAGGAUUAACAGCUGAAAUGGUUGUAGCAGGGGAAUAUAAAUUAGCAACAAUGAUGGUGCACUGAAGACUGUUUUUUGCAAAGGAAGGAUCUGCAAGGAUGUUAGGAUCUAUACCUCAAAAUAAAGGUAAGAUAAAAUACA
rnacentral:lncRNA from 1 species